CUCUUUCGUUUCUAGAGAACUACACAACAGCCUAGUGCCUGGAUAAUUAACUAGCCAACUUUAUUACAAUUGACGAAUGCAAAAGCUCCUCGGAAAUGACGAUGAAAUGCACUGACAUUAUCAAUAGCAAGCUUUCUAGCUAGCCUGGCGCGGCUCUGUUCAGCUACUGCUGAACAUGCAUACUGACAAAGAGUAGAUUGUUACCUGAAACGACUGGUACCCAGAUAGCGCCUAACUAGCUAAAAAAAAAGCCCGGCCACAGAUUAAUAUUAACAUAUAGCUAGCUAUCUCCCAUAUAACGUUAAACGAUUACAAAUUAAUGUCAAACCCCCGUCACCGAUAUGACAAUUUACAGCAGUUUGUUCUGUAUUGCUAUCUGACAUGUAGAUAAUUAUGCCAUGACACCAACCCUGCACUGCCUCGAUUCAAGCAGUUGCCAUUUAACUAGUUUGGUAAAUAGCCUACACAGUUGUUAGCUACUACUAGCUACAUAGUACACCGUGACCUAGCUAGCCAUAUUGAGUUGCCCGGCAUAGCCGUCCACGCCAUCUGACCUAAAUGCUAGUCUCUUCGCUCCGGGAACGUGGACAGGUCUCCCGGAGCGAAAAGCCUACCUCAGUGCUAAAGUUAGCUAACGCUGGACAGCCGGGCCGUGGAGAAGAUGGCGUCCAAUCUGCUCGUCUUGAAUGGAGGCUUGGUGGUCCAGCUAGACGCCAUCCUGCAGUGUCACGAGGACACAGAAUUGGUGGAAUUGCAGGAAAUUAGCUGUAAAACAGGCGUGCCGGCCUGGAAGGACUACCAGCUCAACACUCAGAUGGGCUUCAGGGUGAAAAUCUCUGUCUCACCAGAGGACAGCACUACUGGGAUAUCAGCCCUCCAGAGGACAACAAUAGCCACUGGGCUGUAGGCAUCGUCACUUGUACCAGCUCUAAGGACCGUUACAGGAUCCUGGGCAGGGGACCGGUGGGGGAAGAAGAAGAGGAGGAGGAUGAGGGACAGGGGAAAGAUGGGGCAGGAGAAGCGAUUGGAAAGGCUUUUGCAGCAGUGUUAGCCAAGAGGACGUAGGUGGACUGUAAGAGGCAGGAGGUAAAUUCGAGGCCCUCAGAAGGAAGAGAUGGAACAGCAGGAAGUGGGGAAUUGUCUCUAUGGACGCAAGAAGGAAGAGAGCAAGGUGGUUCAAGAAAAGAGAGAGUUGAAAAAGAUAAGAGUCGGUCCAGAAAAGAGAGACAGAGAAAGAAAAGAGGUAUCAAAAAGUAGAGGGAGGUAGAACAAGAAAAAUGGGACGAGCCAGACAUCAGGAGAACACUACUGCAAGGCUGAAGAAAGGGAACUCAGGACACGAUGGGAAGAUGCAGCCCUACCUCUCUCAGAAGCACCCUGGUAAGAUUGGGCUGUAUGUGGACUGUGACCACGGUCGCCUCUCCUUCUUCUCUGUGUCCAGAGCCAGGGUCAAGCUCUUCCGCAGGUUCGAGAAGGUGCCGUCCUAUCCCCUGCACCCAGCCGUCUCGAUCAGGGAGCCCGGAGAGCAGAAUGACCUUCAGAUGAUGAGGUCAUGGGUCAAGUGGCAAUGCCAUGGUGAUGCUUCAGCUCAGAAAAUGGAGAGUAGUCUUAGAAGUGGAAUUAUUAGAACGAACAUUCCCAUUCAAGACUAUGUUCUGUGAUGGAUCUAGAUCUAUUUCUAUGAGGAAAUCUGUCAUUUAAGAGGGUUUCAGAGGAGAGUUUCUAUGUCAUCCCCUGUAGGUCACAGAAGGAGUGCACAUGGGAAGGUGGUGGAUUAGUUUGAAUUUGCAUAAGCAAAUACAACCUAAAUAAAUUUGAUUGAUACGCUUCAUGUUUUUAUACACAUUUUUACUUAAGACUGUAAAGUAUAAUGGUUAAGGAUGGCUAUAAAGUACAUACAAUGAAGUUGAAGUACUUUUUUCUGCAGUGGGCUAAAUCAGGGUCACAGUGUUUCUUGGUAGUCUUAAACAAAUCUACUUUGAAACAGAAGUAUAUACGUCACACACAUGGUUAUGGGCUUAAAAAAAGAAGACACCUGCACCAUGUCAGAUAUAGAGUUGAAAUGUAUUCCAUUUUGCAUCCCAAUAUUACACUUUAUAUACA